UUAUGAACUUACCCUUUUGGCUAAGAUCAAGUGUAGUAUCUGUUUUUAUCAGUUUAAUAUCUGAUACAUCCUCAGCCAGAGGACUUUAUAUUAAAAUGGAUUUUUGGGUGUGGGAGUUGGUUCUGGAGCUUCCUCUCUCUGCUCUGCGCAUCGUCUUGUUAUUGCAGUGCCUCUGGGAACAGUGCACCCAGC